CAUAUAGAUCGAUCAGGAGCAGACUAGCUAGAGGAAGCUAGCUUUGCGCACGGUGCAGCUUGGCGUAAAAGUAAUUCGUCGAGUUCAGCCAGCAAGUUUCUUCGUCGUCGUUCGUCGUUGAUCAUCGCCGUUGCCGGAAAGUACUCGACGACGCUAUCUGGGCCAACAGCGGCGUCUGCCUAGGUCUUCGCGGCGCUGUUGGUGGUGUUCACGGCGGCGCUCGAGUGCAUGGAUUGCUAUGUGACUACAUCUCUGCUGCUUGGAUUGAAGUUUCGUUGGGCGUGAGUGCACGCGAGGAGUGCAUCUGGACGUUCCCGAUCUGCUCGCUCCGGUGCCUCUUGAGGUCCCGAUUUGACUACAAGCUGGUGGAUCUGGGUUCUCCCGAGGGUGAAGUCCAAGGGGCCCCAAUGGAUAAGGACGUGACCGGCAAGCGGGAGGCCACCACUACCAGCGCCCUCAAGCUCUACCACUAAUCAUUUAUCUAGACCACAUCACCACGUCGAGUAUAUUGGUAUGUCCUAGCCAUCCUUGCGAGCUCCAAUAAUUUUCAUUUGCUUUAAUUCCCAAUCUGGUUCGUAGCAAAAAUACAGGCCUCCCGGGUGUAGAAUUUUUGGUCAGAUUCAUGGGCUGCUUCAUAUUGUUAAACCAUGGAAUAAUAUCAGAUCCUUCGUGGACUGAAUUGUUGGAUUUCCCCCUUCUUGUCAGAUGUACAUCACCAUUUGUUUCUGAAACCAAGUCAUAUUUGUCGGAUUUCUACUUUUCAGAGAAAGCAGAUAAUUAUUUCAAUUUUAAAAAUUGGUUCUAAUUUUGGUUCAUCAUCUGCACCAUAUGCAAAUACACAUCUAUUAUUCAGAAAAGGUUUUGUUCUGUCAAUCAGGGUCAUACUAACUGCAGCUGGUAGCUGCUCUAAACAUUGUUGUAAUGUUACUACUUAAUAAUGAUUGUGGAGGUACUGCUAACAUUUCCUACUAGAGAAAAGACGCAGCCGAGCCUGAGAAGGGCGCUAGCCUAGUCCGACUUUGAAUUAACAAAGCCAUCAACCAACCAGGAUACAACUGCAACAUACAUCAAGAAGCAAGAACAAAAAGCGGCAAGAUACAGAGGCGCUGGAAAGCAGCUUACAAAGCCUCAAACACUUCAGGAAGGAUCUUACAAUGGAAUACAUAGCUGAAGAAGUCGAGGUCCUCCAACAUGACUAGACAGGGACAAAAUCAAAGCCAGCUCUAUAGAGGGAAUGAAGAAGCACAAACAAUACCUUUCAUCACCAAACACUAAAGGACCUCGGCAAGGCACACCCAUCCAACUCCGUCUCCGAAGGAGGCCACUACCUUCCUGUGAUAUUGUGUUUAGUCUCUCAUUUCUACUUGUAAGACUACAUCUAGUCUAAGUGUAGUGACUACAGGAAGAAGUAUGUUAUCCAUCUAUACUAGUUACAAUAGGUAUUGUUGUCACUAACUUUCUACAGAAUUUAGCCACCACAUAUUAUUGUUCUUAUUUUCUUUAGCUAGUGCAUUUUGUCAUCCUUGGUCCUUAUUGUGGUGGUUGAACACAUGGUUUAUUGGAACAAAUGCUACUUUUGAAAGCAGAGAUGUGGUAAAGUUA